rnacentral:rRNA from 1 species
UACGUAGGGGGCAAGCGUUGUCCGGAUUUAUUGGGCGUAAAGCGCGUGUAGGCGGCUAGGCAAGUCAAUUGUGAAAUCUCCGAGCUUAACUCGGAAAGGUCAACUGAAACUGUGCGACUAGAGUGCGGAAGGGGCAACUGGAAUUCUUGGUGUAGCGGUGAAAUGCGUAGAGAUCAGGCGGAACACCCGUGGCGAAGGCGGCCAGCUGGGCCGUCCCUGACGCUGAGGCGCGAAGGCGUGGGGAGCGAACGGG